rnacentral:lncRNA from 1 species
UUGUCCUUUUCUUUAAAGUUUUGUUUUUCCAAAUUGUUUUUUAGUUGAAAGUUGCUAUGCAAAACGUCUCCUUUCCUCUUUCUCAAUUCGCGAUAAAAGAGUAAUACAAAAAACGGAUCAACUGUACAUUUGAUUCGUUUUGAUGUUGUCACAAGUUUUUUCACAUUUCAAGUUGAUUUUGUCCCAAUUACACUUCGUCUGGUUGUUAGCUUGUUUCUAACCAGAAAUUCGAACCCAUAAGCUAAUAACUUAUAAUAGAUAUGACAGUCUAUUAUUUCUUAUUUAUGUCGUCGGUUCGUCGCCUUCUGUUGAUCCCUUAUCAUAUUUUGUUUUUUUACUUGUAGUUAUAAUCAUUCCACAUUAUUCUGUUUGUAAAUAUCCCAUUACCCUAAUUGAAUAUUAAUGUUAAAGUUUUGUAAUUGUCUAGUUGAUUAUGGCGUCGUGCUGCCGUUGGGUGUUGUAUCGUUGAUGGCUGGGUCGACCACCGGUGCACUGAUGUCUCAUGGUAUGGCGGGUAUCAAACCGCAACGCCGCCUGAACUACACGACCAGUUACUACUCCGAGCCUCCCAAGUACUACACUGCAAGUGCAAAGGCUCCAUAUUAUUACACCACUACUCAUGCUGCCCUGAGCUACUAAACCGAAUCCCCGCAGUAUUAUUCUUCCCUGAGGUACACUACCAAAGGUUGGAGUACUACACCGAGGCUCCGAAGUACUGCACAACUACAUAUCAUGGGAGAGAAAAGGUGAAAGAAUUCAGCAGCCGAGUGAGCAUCUCCAUUACAGCAACAGGAACUGCUUUGCUCUAUUUGUCAUCAACUUCAUUCUUCGUCGCUUUACAAAUUUUAAAUAAAGUAAACUAUGGCGUCGUGUUGCUGUUGGGUGUCGUAUCGUUGAUGGCUGGGUCGACCACUGGUGUACCGAUGUCUCCUGGGUAUGGUGGGUAUUAAAGCACAACACUGCCGUGCCGUCUUACUAUUUAGCAUCAAUUUCCGCUGCUCCAGCUUACUACACUGAGGCUCUCAAGUGCUGCACCACCAAGGCUCCAGAAAAUUACACCACAGCUCAUGUUGCCCCGAGCUACUACGUUGAAUGCCCGAAGUAUUUUUCUUCCCCGACCUACUCUACCAAAGAGUCGAGUACUACGUCGAAGCUCCCAAGUACUACAUCACCAAGGUCGAAUACUACACAAGAGCAAUCAUGGUAACUUAUGGCUUCAUGCUGCUGUGAGGGUUGUAACGUUGAUGUCUGGAUCGAUCACUAAUGUGCCGAUUUCUCUUGGCUAUGGCGGGUAUCAACAACAACAUACUCAACAACCGGUUACUACACUGAGGCCCCCAAGUGCUACACCACCAAGGCUCGAGGGUAUUAUACCACAGUUUAUGUUGCCCCGGGGUACUACGUAGAAAAUCCGAAGUGUUUUUCUUUCCCGAACUUUACUACCUUCAACACGCCGCCUCCUUACUAAACAACAACGUCAACACCUACCUACUAUACGAAGGCCUCUAAGUACUACGCCACGAAGGCUCCUGAUUACUACACCGAUGCUCCAGCUUGCGAUGCAGCCACCAAAUCGGUCAAAUGUACACCAAAGCGCUCAAGUACUACUCUGCCCCGAAUUACUACACAGCGGCUGCUCCUUCGUAUUAUGUUGGACCGAAAUACUACACUGAGCUCCAGUUUACUACACUACAACCCACGUUGCCCUCAGCUACCAUACCAAGGCCUCUCUCCCAUACCGAUGCUCCCAAGUACUACACAACCAAGGCACCCGAGACUAACUGAAUGACUAACUGAAGUUGGCGUAACAAAGGAAUUGCAGAUAGUAAACGGUUCUACAUAUCAGUUUAGAUUUUGGAUAACCAAUGUUAAAAUUUAGAGAUGAAAAUAUAUCAAUAUAUUUAUACAACAACAUUGUUUUAUUACAAGUUAUAAGAUACAGCAAACUUAUAA